AUCCUUCCAGGUCAUACACAUGAUGAUUGGUCUAAUCACGAAUUAUUCGUGAGAUGUGCUGCCAUUCUUGUUACGCUUGGCACAUGACUCAUCUGAUC
ensembl:snoRNA